rnacentral:rRNA from 1 species
UACGUAGGUGACAAGCGUUGUCCGGAUUUACUGGGCGUAAAGAGCGCGCAGGCGGUCGAUCAAGUCGAGUGUGAAAGCCCCCGGCUCAACUGGGGAGGGUCAUUCGAUACUGAUCGACUCGAAGGCAGGAGAGGGUAGUGGAAUUCCCGGUGUAGUGGUGAAAUGCGUAGAUAUCGGGAGGAACACCAGUGGCGAAGGCGGCAUCCUGGACCGACACUGACACUGAGGAGCGAAAGCCAGGGGAGCAAACGGG